CUUUGAUGGCUAUGUCAUAUCCAGCAAGGAAAAUCUAAAUGACUGUAUCCAGUGUUGCCUGACCUGGAAGGAAAUAUACCUGGAAGAAUCACAGAUACACCACAAGUAUUCCUCAGAAGGGUGGAUUUUGGACCAUAGAAAUUUUUUUAUGGUGGUUGAUGCUUACAUUCAGCGGUUCAGGGACCUGCAAGAGAUAUGUGACUGCCAGCAUCAGUUUGCGCGCUGGGAGGAUGGUCAGCAGAGGGCCCUGCCAAUCUUCAGUGGUUGGAAAGGACUCGAGUUCUGCCGUGCCCUCCUUGAGAUAGAGGGUAACUUCCAUCGUGGCCUACAG
rnacentral:lncRNA from 1 species